AGAGUUUGAUCCUGGCUCAGAACGAACGCUGGCGGCAGGCUUAACACAUGCAAGUCGAACGCAUCGCAAGAUGAGUGGCAGACGGGUGAGUAACACGUGGGAAUCUACCUAGUUCUACGGGAUAGCCCGGGGAAACCCGGAUUAAUACCGUAUACGCCCUAAGGGGGAAAGAUUUAUCGGAAUUAGAUGAGCCCGCGGUUGAUUAGCUAGUUGGUGAGGUAAUGGCUCACCAAGGCGACGAUCAAUAGCUGGUCUGAGAGGAUGAUCAGCCACACUGGAACUGAGACACGGUCCAGACUCCUACGGGAGGCAGCAGUGGGGAAUAUUGGACAAUGGGCGCAAGCCUGAUCCAGCCAUGCCGCGUGAGUGACGAAGGCCUUAGGGUUGUAAAGCUCUUUUAACGGGGAAGAUAAUGACGGUACCCGUAGAAUAAGCUCCGGCUAACUUCGUGCCAGCAGCCGCGGUAAUACGAAGGGGGCUAGCGUUGUUCGGAAUUACUGGGCGUAAAGAGUACGUAGGCGGUUUAUUAAGCUAGAUGUGAAAUCCCUGAGCUUAACUCAGGAACUGCAUUUAGAACUGGUAGGCUAGAGAGUGUUAGAGGUUGGUAGAAUUCCUAGUGUAGGGGUGAAAUCCGUAGAUAUUAGGAGGAAUACCGAUGGCGAAGGCAGCCAACUGGGACAUUUCUGACGCUGAGGUACGAAAGCGUGGGUAGCAAACAGGAUUAGAUACCCUGGUAGUCCACGCCGUAAACGAUGGGUGCUAGUCGCUGGUCUUCUGGAUCGGUGACGUAGUUAACGCGUUAAGCACCCCGCCUGGGGAGUACGGUCGCAAGAUUAAAACUCAAAGGAAUUGACGGGGACCCGCACAAGCGGUGGAGCAUGUGGUUUAAUUCGAGGCAACGCGAAGAACCUUACCAGGACUUGACAUCCCUAUCGCGGACUUUGUAAUGAAGUCUUUCAGUUCGGCUGGAUAGGUGACAGGUGCUGCAUGGCUGUCGUCAGCUCGUGUCGUGAGAUGUUGGGUUAAGUCCCGCAACGAGCGCAACCCUCAUCCUGUGUUACCAGCGAGUUAUGUCGGGGACUCUCAGGAAACUGCCCGUGACAAGCGGGAGGAAGGCGGGGAUGACGUCAAGUCAGCACGGCCCUUACGUCCUGGGCUACACACGUGCUACAAUGGUGGUGACAGUGCGCAGCGACCUCGCGAGGGGAAGCUAAUCGCUAAAAGCCAUCUCAGUUCGGAUUGUACUCUGCAACUCGAGUACAUGAAGUUGGAAUCGCUAGUAAUCGUAGGUCAGCAUACUACGGUGAAUACGUUCCCGGGUCUUGUACACACCGCCCGUCACACCAUGGGAGUUGGUUUUACCUUAAGUCGUUAGUCCAACAUGGACGGCGCCCACGGUAAGAUCAGCGACUGGGGUGAAGUCGUAACAAGGUA
rnacentral:rRNA from 1 species